rnacentral:lncRNA from 1 species
CCCUCCUCUUGGGGGCCCCAUACUUUGGGGCCAGAGUUGCUCCCUUGUAUCCAAGGUAUGCAGAUAAGCAAUUUAGCCUUCCCUUAAAAACCACCAGCCCCCCCCCUUUUUAAAGAAAGUAAGGUAUUGUGAGUUCAUAGGGCCCAGGUGACAUCUCAGGGGACAGUUCAGGCCAGGCCACCAGCUAGCAUCUGCAGGGGUUGUGGACACCAGUCCUGCACCAACGGAACCAGAGUCCCUGACUUGGGGAGCAGAUGAUAGUGGCCUGGCUUUCUGAGACAUGAAUUGGGUGACAGGCUGACCUCCCUUCCCGUAGUGUCUGAAGAGAGGUCCCCUCUUUGCCUCUCCACUGACUCUCAGACACACUCAGGGCUCCAGAGGAGACCGCGCCAACUCUGGUCAGCACACCCUUUCCCACCACGACCCUCCUGGAUGGAAAGAGAGACAACUGCCAAAGAAGCACUGCCUCACCACGUUGAUCCAUUUUAAAGUAUAAGUUAGGUUGUAUCCCUUCCCUGUGAAACAAUCCUCCAGUAGAUUCCCACUGCAAGGAAAAGGCCCAAAUUCCUUCCUGGAGCCAAACUCCGUUUCUCUUUCUGUGCUUCCUCUCACUGGUCUUGUCUUUCCCACAGUGCAGCAAGCAUGUCUCCCAUGUAGGAAGUAUGGCAGGCAGAAUCCUCAACAUCUUCCUCCAGGAUUCCCUCCCUGUGCUUACUCAAUCAAGCACUCAUCUGUGUUCAGCUGGGAAGGGACUUUACAGAUGUGAUGUCGACCUGAAGACAGAGGUUAUCCUAGGCUACUGGGCUCAGUCUAAUUGCAUGAGUCUGUAAAAGCAGAGGAUGUUCCCUGGCUGGUGCAGAAGAGGAAGAGAGAAGAGGAAGUCAGAGAUUCCAAGUAUGAGAAAGAUGUGACCUGCCCUUGCAGGCCAGGGGUAGGAGCCCCAUGUUCAAGGACUGGAGAGAGGCUGCCAGGAGCUGACCAUGGCCCUGGAUGCAGCCAGCAAAGACAUGGGCAUCUUCCUCAGGUCAUGGAAAGGAAUCCUGCCACCAAUCUGAGCAGAAGUUCAGAGAUUGCAGAGAAGAAGCCAGGCUGGUUGACACUGAUUCCAGUCUCAAAUGAGCUGGAGCAGAGGAACUCAUGGAGUCUGCCAUACUUUUGACUUACAGAGAACUGAGAGCAUAACUUUGUGUUGUCCUAAGAUGGUAAAGUUGUGGAAUUUCUGUUAAUGGUGGCAAAUAUAGAACAGCUGCGAUUCCAGGAAAAUGAUAAUGAACACACCCACUCUAAGCAGAGCAGAAUCUGCGCGCACGUGCGCGCGCGCGUGUGUGUGUGUGUGUGUGUGUGUGUGUGUGUGUAAGUACCCACUAUAAAUGCCAGCUGAGAUCCCUACCCCAAAUUCCCAGAACUGUCACCCUCCC